rnacentral:rRNA from 1 species
GGUAAGCUCGUGCGAGAAGCCGAUGGAAUACGAAGUGUUGAAUCGUUAAUCGGAAUUACUGGGCGUAAAGGGCGCGUAGGUGGUUCAGUAAGUUUGAAGUGAAAUCCCCGGGCUCAACCUGGGAACUUCUUUAAAAACUGCUGAGCUAGAGUACGGUAGAGGGUGGUGGAAUUUCCUGUGUAGCGGUGAAAUGCGUAGAUAUAGGAAGGAACACCAGUGGCGAAGGCGACCACCUGGACUGAUACUGACACUGAGGUGCGAAAGCGUGGGGAGCAAACAGGAUUAGAUACCCGGGUAGUC